GUGCCAGCAGCCGCGGUAAUACGGAGGGUCCAAGCGUUAUCCGGAUUUAUUGGGUUUAAAGGGUGCGCAGGCGGAACUUUAAAGUCANUGGUGAAAUCUUNCCGCUUAACGGUAAAAUUGCCAUUGAUACUGAAGUUCUUGAAUGUAGUUGAGGUAGGCGGAAUGUGUUGUGUAGCGGUGAAAUGCAUAGAUAUGACACAGAACGCCAAUUGCGAAGGUAGCUUACUAAGCUACGAUUGACGYUGAGGCACGAAAGCGUGGGGAGCGAACAGGACUAGAUACCCUGGUAGUCCACGCCGUAAACGAUGAUCACUCGCUGUUUGCGAUACACAGUAAGCGGCUGAGCGAAAGCAUUAAGUGAUCCACCUGGGGAGUACGAUCGCAAGGUUGAAACUCAAAGGAAUUGACGGGGGCCCGCACAAGCGGAGGAACAUGUGGUUUAAUUCGAUGAUACGCGAGGAACCUUACCUGGGCUUAAAUGUAGAUUGCAUAGAUUGGAAACAGUCUUUCUCUUCGGAGCUAUUUACAAGGUGCUGCAUGGUUGUCGUCAGGCUCGUGCCGUGAGGUGUCGGGUUAAGUCCCAUAACGAGCGCAACUCCUAUCGUUAGUUUGCUAGCAGGUAAUGCUGAGGACUCUAGCGAGACUGCCACCGUAAGGKGGGAGGAAGGUGGGGGAUGACGUCAAAUCAGCACGGCCCUUAUGUCCAGGGCUACACACGUGUUACAAUGGUCGGUACAAAGGGCAGCUACACAGCGAUGUGAUGCCAAUCCCUAAAGCCGAUCCCAGUUCGGAUUGGAGUCUGCAACCCGACUCCAUGAAGUUGGAUUCGCUAGUAAUCGGAUAUCAGCCAUGAUCCGGUGAAUACGUUCCCGGGCCUUGCACACACCGCCCGUC
rnacentral:rRNA from 1 species